AGGGGUGUAGUUCUAACGGCUAGAACGCCGGUCUCCAAAACCGGAUGUUGGGAGUUCGAAUCUCUCCACCCCUGCCA
rnacentral:tRNA from 1 species